GAUAAUACCAUAUUGGUAGGUCGGACAUGGUGGUCUGUUUUCGCCUCGUGGAAAAGGAAUCUUGACGAUUUUUUCCCCACUUUACAUCCAGAUUGAGACAAGCGCAUCUUUAAAAUUAAAUAACUAAUUAAGCGUACUCAAAUUACUUUAAGAAAAUCACGGUGUCGCGUUUGUCAUCGGGGGAAUUUUGCGUAGUUUACAUUAAGAAGCACGUUCGAGCGAUUGUCGUCAGUUGUUGACGACACAGAUCGUCGUAUCAGCGAACAAAGAAAAAAAGAAAAUGGCCGAAGGUUACAUUCGAGUGGCGGAGGAGGAAAACGAAGAGCCCAUGGAAAUACCGGCCGAGGAUGAUGGCACCGUUCUCCUGUCAACCGUAGCGGCUCAGUUUCCAGGGGCGUGCGGCCUACGUUUCAGGAGCCCGGUGUCUCAGUGCAUGCGGGGAGUGCGUCUCGUGGAAGGGGUCCUGCACGCGCCAGAAAAUGGUUGGGGAAAUAUUGUGUAUGUGGUGAACUAUCCAAAAGACAACAAGAGGAAAAUGGAUGAAAUAGAUGCCUCUUCUGCUGUAAAGAUGAAGAGGGGGGAUAUGAAAACAUCUGACCUGAUUGUACUGGGUCUUCCUUGGAAAACAACUGAACAGGACCUGAAAGAUUACUUCAGUACAUUUGGAGAAGUCAUCAUGGUUCAGGUGAAACGAGAUGCCAAAACUGGAAACUCUAAAGGAUUUGGCUUUGUAAGGUUCACAGAGUAUGAGGCUCAAGAAAAGGUGAUUUCCCAGCGCCAUAUGAUUGACGGGAGAUGGUGCGACUGCAAGCUUCCUAACUCGAAGGUGAAUAUGCAAGGACCAGAUGAACCACUAAGAAGUCGAAAAGUGUUUGUAGGCCGUUGCACAGAGGACAUGACCACAGAUGAUCUACGGCAGUUCUUUAUGCAGUAUGGAGAAGUCACAGAUGUCUUUAUUCCCAAGCCAUUCCGUGCUUUUGCCUUUGUCACUUUUGCUGAUGAUCAGGUCGCCCAGUCUCUUUGUGGAGAGGACCUUAUUAUCAAAGGAGUCAGUGUUCACAUCUCAAAUGCUGAGCCCAAACAUGGCAAUAGGCAGUUUGAUCGUACAGCACGGUUUGGAAAUGGUUUUGGAGCCCAAGCAUUUGGUAGUAACCGUGGUGGGUUGGGGAGCAGCACCAACAGUAAUCUGGCUAACUUUGGUUCCUUCAGUCUGAAUCCUGCCAUGAUGGCUGCUGCUCAGGCUGCUUUGCAAAGUAGUUGGGGGAUGAUGGGUAUGCUGGCUAGCCAGCAGCAGACGUCCACCUCGGGUAGCACCUCCAGUGGAACAAGUUCUAGCAGGGACCAGAGUCAGUCUUUCAGUACAGGCAACAGCAACUAUGGCACCAGCUCAGCCAGUCUUGGUUGGGGCACAGGGUCAAACUCUACGACAAGCGGUAGUGGGUUUAGCUCAGGUUUUGGGUCCAGCAUGGAGUCAAAGUCAUCUGGGUGGGGUAUGUAAGUUAAGUGUUUGUAUGGUAAGUAUUGUGAGAAAGAUGAGUCUUUUCAAAGUUUAUUUCUGGUGUUAAUGCGUAUCUGAAAACACUUUUGAGGAAGAUGUUUUGUACAUUUGGAAAAAAAAUGCUAAAGAUUUAAUUUAGGAUGUGUUGAAGUGGAUUGUUUACCAGGAUCUCUGACUAAAGUGCUAUUUUUGAUGUCUUGUUUGUUUGUAUCCAUUUCAACUGGAUUCUCUAAUGCAUGUAUUGUGAAAUGUGAUGCCCAUCUUGAAAAUGCAUGAAUGUUUGUGGUUUACCAUUAUCCGGCUUUGUCAUCGACUUAAAAGGCAAUCUUGCAUUGGAAAGAAUCUGGUUGAAACCUAACUGUUUUAAGUGCAACUUUAUUUACAGUCAAGUUCUGUGGAAAAGCCUUCAUUGAAAUCUCUUCUGCAGUUCACCUCUCUUCCAUUUCCCUGUGAGGAAGCUCCUCUUUGGCAGCAUUCUUGGGGUGAUAUCGGUAUCAUUGUCCCUCUUCCUACCUGUAAAUGCUAUGCCAUCAAAGAACGGCUUCACUCCGCAUGUUCUAAGAGACGGGACCUUGGGCUCUGCUGGUCGAGGUCUCCGUUUGAACCCUGACUGAAGUCUGUUCUGAAGGACGAAGAUGGAAGUUCCGACACUUUCAGUUUGUGGCCUUCUCAGACAUGACAUGGGGUAGUACCUGUGUUUUUGCUGCUUUUGAUGGCUUGUUAGAGGGAAUUCUCUAUUACCAUCUAUUCCAAAGGUUAGGGGUAAGUUCUUGGGAGUUGAUUCUUAAAUUUUUUUGCAAAUGAGCUCAGCAAUGUGGCCUCAAUUUUCCAAGCUAUUUGUCUUUGAUUUGGCUCUAGAAAAAAAUGUCAUUGCUGGGCCUUCGAUUUUUUUUUAAGAUGGAAUCAAAUACUGUGGGUCCAGCAGUCUCAAGCUCCAAGGUUUCCCUAAGUCAGGGAUCACCAACUCUGGUCCUUGAGGGCUGGCAUCUUGCAGGUAUUGGAUGUGUUCCUGCAGCAACACACCUGAUUGAAAGGAAUGGGUCAUUAACAGAUUUGUGGAGAACUUAAGCUGUUGGAAAUCCAUUUUAUUUUAAUCAGGUGUUGCAAAAGGCAAACAUCCAACACCUGCAGGACACCGACCCUUCAGGGCCAGAUUUGGUGACCCCCUGCCCGAAGUACUAAGCGACACAUAAUAGUUUAAAUUCUCAUAUAGAAGGAGAAAACCAACACACAUUACUCAUGACAAGAUUAUAACAGCUAUAGUCAAUGUAGUAAAUGUUGAUGCCAAACAGUCUUUUGUAUUUGCUUUCAGACAGGAUGUAAAGCUGGGGUGCCCAAGUCAAGUCCUCAAGCUACUAUCCUGCUACUUUUAGAUUCAUCCCUUCUCUAACACACCUGAAUCAAAAGGCUGAAUUCCCUCGUGAAUAUUCAGCUCUGCAGAGGCUUGGUAACGAGCCAUUCAUUUAAUUCUGGUGUGUAUAGGAGAAGAGAAAAGUUGUAGGAUAGUAGCUCUUGAGGACUGAAUUUCGGCACCCCUGAUGUGAAGUAUUGUCAAAAUGUUGUGGUCCAGUCUUUUUUUUUUUUUUAUCUAGAUGAACUCAUGAGCUUGAAGUACAAAAUAAAUUAAACUUUAAUGACA